AGGUCUUCGAACUACUCCCGUAGACCGCGUAUGAACGUACGUUUUCACCCGUCGGGUGACAGGGAGACGAGGUGGUGCAUGGUUGUCGUCAGCUCGUGUCGUGAGAUGUUGGGUUAAGUCCCGCAACGAGCGCAACCCCUACGUUUAGUUGCUUAACGCGUGAAGGCGAGCACUCUAGACGAACUGCCGUUGACAAAACGGAGGAAGGUGGGAUGACGUCAAAUCAUCAUGCCCUUAUGUUCUGGGCUACACACGUGCUACAAUGGCCGGUACAGACGGACGCAAAGCCGCGAGGUGGAGCAAAUCCUAAAAAGCCGGUCUCAGUUCGGAUUGCAGGCUGCAAUUCGCCUGCAUGAAGUCGGAAUCGCUAGUAAUCGCAGGUCAGCAUACUGCGGUGAAUACGUUCCCGGGCCUU
rnacentral:rRNA from 1 species